UACUUAUGUAUCUUUGUACGGCGGUAUGCAAAAUGUUUGGUCCAUCGACUAAUCGGUGUGUAUGCCAGUUUUUUAAUGUAGUAUAUCAAAUAUUUUUUACCCGUGACCAUUGUAUUGGUUCAGGUGUUCAGUGUUAACAUUCAGCUGUUGGGUUGCUAUCCGAGAAUUCAGAACAAGAAGAAGGCAGAAGUUUAUGUUGAUUAACAUGACAAGACGGUGAAUAUACCCGGUAAAUGCUCCAAAGCAUUAGCCUUCGAUGGAGCCGGCAAAGAAUCUUUGCAAAUGUUACAAAAAAAAACAUAGUAGUGAUAUUACCAGAUGGCACAUAUAGUUUUCCACUUGCAGAAGCAGCCACGUUACUGACUAUGUUUAGCCAACUGCAGAUCAAGUAUUACUUCCUGUUAAAAAAAAGUAUUACUUACAAUUCCGAAGUGGUGUAUGUAUAUUAAGAUUUGUACAUGACUGCUCAUUUUGGAACCUUUCUUCAUAUAAGCACCAGGUUUGUUGAACUUUACACCUUUUUGGUUUGAUUAAAUUGAUAGAAACUUGAUGUUGUCAUCACUUCUUUUGGUGCAUGGUUUCAGGAGAUAAACACAUCCAGCUGUUUCAUUUGAACUUCAUUUGUUUGAUUAAAAAAUUGAGCAAUGAUAUGUUAUACAUUGGGUCUCAGAUUUAAAUUUGCUUUGGAAUACAAAUGUGUGAUUUAUUUGAUCAUGGUUGUUAUUCUUCUAACAGGUUACAAUCACAUGGCCAGUGACAUGUGCAAUAAGCGGUAGUUUUGGGCUUCUUUUCUUGUGAGUGCCGGCAUUACAAGGGGCCCUAAUCCAGCCAAAGGAUCAGCAGAAUUGGUUGUCUAAUUCAUGAACAUUUGUCAGAGACAUGGUUAAGAAUUAGAAAUGUAUGCUGGAGUGAGCGGAAACCACAGAUUGUUAUGGAAGCAAAGAGGCAGUCAAAAGAACUGGGGUGUAGACAAAGUUGACGUCUUGCAACAGUUUUGUUGGAGGACUUGACUCAAAGGAGUAUAUUCAGACUGGAUUCUUACCGGCUACAUGGCGUUUUGGCACCGUUAACAGUACAUGGCAGAGCAAUGCUUUGCAUCUACUGGUUAUUGAGAAAUCCGAAUUCUGACUUCUUCACUCUAGCAUUAUAUCUUUUAUUUGUCUCACCAUCUAGAACUUUUUCUUUGGAAAUGAAAGCUUAAUACGUUGAUUACUCUAUACCACGGUAAUGAAUUAUAAUAUAUGUUUGCCUUAUAAUGUCAACCUGUAGAUAGAGAGUUCUUGUGUUUAUGAGGCAUAAAUACAAGAACCAUGUAUCUACAGGUUGACAUUAUAAGGCAUAAACUAUCUAACUUCUCUUGCGGUGCUAUGGUGUACCACUUUAGGUACGUACAAGUACAAUCUUUGGAAUGCUAUUAGCAUGGUUGAUUCAACAAGUAAAGCAUGGUCUCGGUAUCUAAAUACAGUAGCAGAACCAAGUUAAUCUUCUUUUAUGUCAUAUUGUUAUUUGAAACAAGUAGCCUCCCUUUUAAUCAAAUAAUAUGAUCCUCUGUUCUACUCAAGGUCCAUAGUUCAUGGUAUAAAAUAUAUGCAUUUCACCGCAACACUUCAGUACUCGAGGGCAAAAUAUAGAACCUCCUAUACUUCAUUGGUAAAAUUAUUUCUUAGAGCUACAUGGGGUCCUCUUUAUUAUGUACCCUUCUUUUUUUCUGCAUCUCCUUGCUUGGUUUACAUAAACAUAGAAGGCUACAAUAUUUGUUUUAUCGUCUUUGGUUAACGAUUAAUGCAUUGACAGAUGCUGAUCCGUAGAGCCUGUAAAUUUCUUUUUGUGGGUAUCUUUGUGUAGAAGUGUAACUGUAACCAGUGACAUAGGACAGUCGUGUUGCCGCAGUCCAAUAUUCAGGUACACAAGAAAUAAAGUAUUUCAGAAAUCAUGGUGCUAAUUCAUUUUUUCAUAUUUAUAGUUUUGGUCUUUUUGGUUAAAUAAGAUAGUGCAAAAGAUCCUACAAAAAGGUUGUGCUUUCUAUUUCAAAGUAACAAGUUAUUAUAGAAGUCAAGAAAUUAAAUAAAUCAUACAUUUACCUCCAUAUUUUUUUAGGUCCUCGGCAACAAUAUCCCAUCUCAAUAACUUUAGUUAGAUAUGAACGAACGAUAUGGUAUUGAAAGUUGUAGUCGUUUUUUAUGAAAUAUCAUAAGAACUGUACAAGAUCCAACAAAAAUGCGUUCUUCGAAGAUCCAACAAAAAUGCGUUAUUCCUAUUUACAAAGUAAUAGCCCACUACAGAACGUAAUGGAUGUGUUAUAUGUUCCAACCAAGCUAGGUAUGAAAGCAAAUUAAUUUACAAGAAAAAAUAUGUUAUACAUUUUCCAAUAUGGCAAGAUCCAGUAAGUCUUCCUCUUUGCUGCAUUUGUCUUACAGUCUGAAAUAGCAACAAUACGUUAAGCAUGGGUCCUCAACAACAAUAUGAUACCUCCAUAUUUUCUAGGUCCUCAGUAACGAUAUUAUAUCUCAUUAACUUUAGUUAUAAAGGAGCAAUAUGAUUCCUAGGUACUGCUAAGUAUAAUUUAUCUUUUGUUUCCAUUGUCGGUUGUAGGGCUGAUUGGAUUUUUCUUCAGAUUGUCCUGCAAGUAUCCCUGUUUUUUCUGAUUUUGUUUGUUCUUUUCUAAAUGGAAUUCACUCUUAUCUCUUCGUGAAGAUUAACCUACAACUGCAAAUGUAUUGUUGUCAACUUUGUUAUAUUUUCUCAUUAUCAUUGUAGUAAGGCAUCAUGACAUCUUAGCUUCACUUUGUUUGAAAUAUCCAGUUGAAUGCUAUCAUGGUUUGCAACAGUAUUGUUUAACAACAGGAAGAACAAGAGUUAAUUGAUCUUCUUACUUACCAUGUUUAGUGUUCAUUCUUUAAGAGGGACAUUACAGCAACAUGUAAGCAAUUGGUGGAUGAUGCAAGCAAAUAUAUAGCUUAAUAAAGCGCCCGUUAUCGAAAAAAUAGCUUAAUGUCCAUCGUGGAACAAUAUUGAGCCAACUCAGGCAUGCUUCUCUCAUGUUCACUACCAUCUUACAUAUCGUAAGUGCAGACCACUAGCAUGUAAUUUGUGGCAAUGUACGUGUAUCAACUUACCGUGAGAUUGUAUAAAUUGUUGUCAAAUAUGUAAUCAACUGCUAUGCCAAUCUGCCAUUGAACUGAGAAUCGCCUGACAGCAAUUGCUACUACCUUACACCAAAAGACAAUUACAACGGACAACCUUGUGGCACAACAAUUACUACUACCUUUCACCAAAACACAAUUACGUCGGACUACCUUGUGGUGUGGCAUGCCACCGUACACAUACUCAUUGCACACCCGCAUGUUGUUGCCCCCACGUUUUCUCUGACAACAAGACCGAGACCAACGACCAUGGAGACAUUGUUGUGGCUGAUACCAGCAAGAAUCUGGACUAAGAACCGGAUGAUCAACCAUAUGAUCUUUCCUCCUGUUAUCUUAUCCUUAGUCAAAGUGUGAGCUAGGAUAAUCUAACAGGCCAUGUGCUACUGCCGUCUGGCUCAGCCCAGUCUAUGUACAAUCUGCCAUCAUGUAACACAUUAGCAUUACCAUGUGUUCUGAUAUAAAUAUUGUUGUUCACUCAAGUAUUACAUCUAAAACUAUAUAUCUUAUCAAUUCCCCAGCGUUACUUAUACCGAGACCCCUGCCAAAGAUACGAGACAACAGGUGCUGUAUUGACAGCUUCAAAGAAGAUGCUUGAACUCAGAAUCCACCCAGUGUCUUCUCCCUGCCCCAUACAGUGUGUUGGCGAUAAACUUUUUCACCAACUAGAAGUCGACAGGAUAUGAGAACAAGUAACUCAUAAGGUGCGAUCUAUAAGAGGAGAAUACUUUUUAGUCGUAGUGGCACAAUGUGAUCUAUUCUCUUUCGGAUAGAAAUGUCUGUUGUCUUUAUAAUGCAAUGUGUGUGCCAAUGGUUUACAUGCAGUUUUGGAUUCAAGCACAUUAUGGUCUUGAGUAAAAAUAUUUUAUUGAGUUUACAUAAGUUAAGAUUCUAUGUAUAUUUAAGUUGGUGAAAAUAUCUUCCAUUUGAAUCUAUAUGGUUACAACGUCAUAUGCAGGUUUAGAAACUAUCGUACAAAUCAAAGUAUGAUUUAUGAUGAUUUCUAAGGAAGAUAGUUUCGGUUGAUUUUCCUGUUUUAAUUUACAAUGUGUGUCAUUGAUACCACCUACUAUUAUUUUUAAUGUACUGCGGUUAACUGCAAUCUCUUGAAAGUAAAGAAGGAAAAGAAACAUGUGACUGCCAAUAUUUUAUGGAAGGUAAUGCAUCUACAUAUUCACAUUCUUUAUGUUUUCAAUUCUCUAUAUUAUCUUCUUUGCUUCGGUGGUUGUUUUCUCUAUUGCCAGUUUACACACUAAGGUGAAAACAAUAAUCAAAAAAAUAAUUGUCCCAUCAAGACCAGUCUAAACAUGUAUUACAAUUUAAGUAGUGUAUCCUGUUUUUCCAUCGAAUUUUCCACCGGUCAGCCACGAUACUGGCGCGGCGUGCCGCCACGCCGAUCUUUGCUAGUAUACAUUAGUGCUGAUUCUGCAGGCCUUCCUUCAGUCUGGUUUUGUUGUGCUGGCUACAAAGUGCACUUUGCUAGAACGAAGCUUACCUUACAUACAUAUCACGCUGCACAUAAUGACGACUUCUCUGAAGACAUUGUGUUAUGAACCAUCAUACUUCUUCAUUUUGGGAAAUUAUCCUCUAAAGCCUAAUUUAAAAGCAUAACCAAAUCGGGAAACACAUCAGAUUGCAUAAUGGAGUGUAUGAUUAAUAGGAAGCAAUAAUACAUGUAAUCAGAAAAUUGUUAUCUGAGCUUAGUUGAAAUAUCUGACUUGUGAGGUGUUUGUUUAGGCAAUUUUUUAAUUCAAGCUUAUGAUGGUAGCCUGUUAUGCUUUUCUUAACUUCUAACAUUGACAUCUUCAAGUUAUUUUACUACAAAGUGAAGGGGAAAAAAGGCUUGUCACACAAAUAUGAGAAAUAAUCAGUGCUAUCUUGUAUAAUAUGUGUAGCUAAUCACAGUACUUGCGCAUCAAUACCUACUGCAGUUGGUGUGAAAAAUGUUAUCAAUGUGAAAUGCAUGGCAUGGAAGUUAAGGAUUGCAAGAAAAUCCUAUUUUGUGUUUAAUGUGGCAAAGAGACUCGCCAGCCUACAACAGCUCACCCGUGAGAACCUCUAUUUCCCUUUUGCUUUUACUAUGACAAGUGGAAAGUGAGUAUCCUUUUCUUGUGCUAAAUAUAUUUUAUUGUGCCCUCUGUUAUCAUUAUUCUGGGAUUUGGAUUGUUUGCUAUUUGACGUGCCUGGUGAUUGCAUGAUCAAGAGUUCAAGACAUGCUUGACUGACUGAGUGUUUAUAUUCUUGACGAUUUAAUAUAUGAUUUUCCUGAAGUGCCUUUCGCAUGUUCAUUCCAUGAUUAUUCUUAGAGAAGUUUAUCCUUUCAGAGGCAAGUGUAAACGUUUUCUUCGAGCUUCAUUUGAAAGUUUUAUAUGGUAUGAUUGUUUACUGUAUAUACUGUUAAGUGCCCUGUAUAGCAUGCUAGAAUACUUCAAGAGAUUUUCUUUCUUGACAUGUAAAAUUGUCCAUUUCUUUGUUGCAAGUAUUUUUGUUUUUUCAUUCUUGGUGCAAAACUAAAAUUAGCAGUUCAGUAUUUGGUGGGUUAAAUGGUAGAAGUUUGUCACUUGGAUCACCUCAAUCUGCAUGGCCUUUUACGGUUGCUCAUGGUGUUGUUGCCUAUUGUUGUCCAGUGCAGAUUGAGAAUGAGUAUGUGCCAGAAGAGAAAGAGUUUGGGGCCGCUGGCAAGUCAUAUAGUAACUGGGCGGCAAACAUGGCCAUGGGUGAUGUGCAAGCAGGAUGACGCUACGAAUCCAGUGGAGACCAUGGAACAAGGAAUAUGUGGUCAAGUAGAAAUGACACGAUUCUAAAUCUAGGAAGAUACUGAUUCAAAAUCUGGGAAGGCAAUAUUGUCUUUUGGCUGUUUCACCUGGUCGGAAUCAUAUCUGCACGGAAGGAGUAGAUGACAAGAUGCUGGCACUUCAUGCAUGCGGCUAAUUUUUUCUGACGCUGUACGUGCUGGAUUUGUCUGACCGUCGCACAGACGUGUGUUGUUGAUCCUAUAUUCCUAUGUAUGCACGACACUGAAACUCUAAGUGUAGAUGAUAGGUUGCGGGCGGCAGCAUCACUCGUCGUGCUGCUCAUGUCGCCGCCGGCACGUCCUCUCCUGACCAUUUGAGUUUUCCUUCGCACACAAAGUCGAGACCAACAGCAUACAUCGUUUGUUUUCGUGAUCUACGGCACGAACCAUUUUGCCCUUGCUCUCUCUCCCAGGCGGCGGGCAGCCAGAUCCCAUCUCCACCGGCGUGAGAUCUGGGCCCCUCUCCCU